rnacentral:rRNA from 1 species
UCAGGUGGUCAGGUAGAGAAUACCGAGGCGUUCGGGUGAACUAUGGUUAAGGAACUCGGCAAAAUGCCCCCGUAACUUCGGGAGAAGGGGGGCCAUCACUGGUGAGGGAACUUGCUUCCUGAGCUGGGGGUGGCCGCAGAGACCAGCGAGAAGCGACUGUUUACUAAAAACACAGGUCCGUGCGAAGCCGUAAGGCGAUGUAUACGGACUGACGCCUGCCCGGUGCUGGAACGUUAAGGGGACCGGUUAGUCACAUUUCGGUGUGGCGAAGCUGAGAACUUAAGCGCCAGUAAACGGCGGUGGUAACUAUAACCAUCCUAAGGUAGCGAAAUUCCUUGUCGGGUAAGUUCCGACCUGCACGAAUGGCGUAACGACUUCUCGACUGUCUCAACCAUAGGCCCGGUGAAAUUGCACUACGAGUAAAGAUGCUCGUUUCGCGCAGCAGGACGGAAAGACCCCGGGACCUUUACUACAGUUUGAUAUUGGUGUUCGGUUCGGCUUGUGUAGGAUAGCUGGGAGACUUUGAAGCGGCCACGCCAGUGGUUGUGGAGUCGUCGUUGAAAUACCAGUCUGGUCGUGCUGGAUGUCUAACCUGGGUCCGUGAUCCGGAUCAGGGACAGUGUCUGAUGGGUAGUUUAACUGGGGCGGUUGCCUCCUAAAGAGUAACGGAGGCGCCCAAAGGUUCCCUCAGCCUGGUUGGCAAUCAGGUGUUGAGUGUAAGUGCACAAGGGAGCUUGACUGUGAGACCGACGGGUCGAGCAGGGACGAAAGUCGGGACUAGUGAUCCGGCGGUGGCUUGUGGAAGCGCCGUCGCUCAACGGAUAAAAGGUACCCCGGGGAUAACAGGCUGAUCUUCCCCAAGAGUCCAUAUCGACGGGAUGGUUUGGCACCUCGAUGUCGGCUCGUCGCAUCCUGGGGCUGGAGUCGGUCCCAAGGGUUGGGCUGUUCGCCCAUUAAAGCGGUACGCGAGCUGGGUUUAGAACGUCGUGAGACAGUUCGGUCCCUAUCCGCUGCGCGCGCAGGAAUAUUGAGAAGGGCUGUCCCUAGUACGAGAGGACCGGGACGGACGAACCUCUGGUGUGCCAGUUGUCCUGCCAAGGGCAUGGCUGGUUGGCUACGUUCGGGAGGGAUAACCGCUGAAAGCAUCUAAGCGGGAAGCCUGCUUCGAGAUGAGUAUUCCCACCCACUUGAUGGGGUAAGGCUCCCAGUAGACGACUGGGUUGAUAGGCCAGAUAUGGAAGCCUGGUAACGGGUGGAGUUGACUGGUACUAAUAGGCCGAGGGCUUGUCCUC